CAGUCGCCGCGGGAAUACGUAGGUCCCGAGCGUUGUCCGGAUUUAUUGGGCGUAAAGCGAGCGCAGGCGGUUAGAUAAGUCUGAAGUUAAAGGCUGUGGCUUAACCAUAGUAUGCUUUGGAAACUGUUUAACUUGAGUGCAGAAGGGGAGAGUGGAAUUCCAUGUGUAGCGGUGAAAUGCGUAGAUAUAUGGAGGAACACCGGUGGCGAAAGCGGCUCUCUGGUCUGUAACUGACGCUGAGGAGCGAAAGCGUGGGGAGCGAACAGGAUUAGAUACCCGCGUAGUCCCUGUCUCUUAUCCA
rnacentral:rRNA from 1 species